GUCACCCCACCCUGUGCAUCCCUUUAUCUCAUCAUCCAAAGUCCUCCUUCAUCCCACACAACACUCUCUCGCCAAGAAUAGCAGAGCAACCAAGCAACGACCAUUUCAGAUUUUGAGCAGCUCACUCAAACUCAAGGUUGAGUAGCUGUCGAUGGUGAUGAAGUGACGACCGGAGUCUUUUGUCUUAUCCUUAUGUAUUAAUGAACUCUGGGGAUACAUGUCUUCAUACAUGUAAUCAGAACCUUAUUCCGCUGCGUACUCAGAAGUUUUAUGUUAUUUUGGCUAAGUCGGAGUUAUCCGAACUUACUAGUUAUUUGAGUCUAUACGACUAAAUCUCCGUUAUAUUAUAAAUAUCCCUUUUGUUAACAAUGA